rnacentral:rRNA from 1 species
AGUGAACGCUGGCGGUAGGCCUAACACAUGCAAGUCGAACGGCAGCACAGUAAGCGCUUGCUCUUACGGGUGGCGAGUGGCGGACGGGUGAGGAAUACAUCGCAAUCUACUUUUUCGUGGGGGAUAACGUAGGGAAACUUACGCUAAUACCGCAUACAACCUACGGGUGAAAGCAGGAGUUCAUCGGACCUUUCGCGAUUGUAUGAGCCGAUGUCGGAUUAGCUAGUUGGCGGGGUAAAGGCCCACCAAGGCAACGAUCCGUAGCUGGUCUGAGAGGAUGAUCAGCCACACUGGAACUGAGACACGGUCCAGACUCCUACGGGAGGCAGCAGUGGGGAAUAUUGCGCAAUGGGCGAAAGCCUGACCCAGCCAUACCGCGUGGGUGAAGAAGGCCUUCGGGUUGUAAAGCCCUUUUGUUGGGAAAGAACAGCAGCAGGUGAAAACCCCGCUGUUCUGACGGUACCCAAAGAAUAAGCACCGGCUAACUUCGUG